rnacentral:rRNA from 1 species
AGAGUUUGAUCAUGGCUCAGAUUGAACGCUGGCGGCAGGCUUCACACAUGCAAGUCGAACGGUAACAGGGAGAAAGCUUGCUUUCUUUGCUGACGAGUGGCGGACGGGUGAGUAAUGCUUGGGAAUCUGGCUUAUGGAGGGGGAUAACUACGGGAAACUGUAGCUAAUACCGCGUAAUAUCUUCGGAUUAAAGGGUGGGACUUUCGGGCCACCUGCCAUAAGAUGAGCCCAAGUGGGAUUAGGUAGUUGGUGGGGUAAAGGCCUACCAAGCCGACGAUCUCUAGCUGGUCUGAGAGGAUGACCAGCCACACUGGAACUGAGACACGGUCCAGACUCCUACGGGAGGCAGCAGUGGGGAAUAUUGCACAAUGGGGGGAACCCUGAUGCAGCCAUGCCGCGUGAAUGAAGAAGGCCUUCGGGUUGUAAAGUUCUUUCGGUGAUGAGGAAGGCAGGUAAGUUAAUAGCUUACUUGAUUGACGUUAGUCACAGAAGAAGCACCGGCUAACUCCGUGCCAGCAGCCGCGGUAAUACGGAGGGUGCGAGCGUUAAUCGGAAUGACUGGGCGUAAAGGGCACGCAGGCGGUGACUUAAGUGAGAUGUGAAAGCCCCGGGCUUAACCUGGGAAUUGCAUUUCAUACUGGGUCGCUAGAGUAUUUUAGGGAGGGGUAGAAUUCCACGUGUAGCGGUGAAAUGCGUAGAGAUGUGGAGGAAUACCGAAGGCGAAGGCAGCCCCUUGGGAAUAUACUGACGCUCAUGUGCGAAAGCGUGGGGAGCAAACAGGAUUAGAUACCCUGGUAGUCCACGCUGUAAACGCUGUCGAUUUGGGGAUUGGGCUUAGAGCUUGGUGCCCGUAGCU